rnacentral:rRNA from 1 species
GAUGAACGCUGACAGAAUGCUUAACACAUGCAAGUCAACUUGAAUUUGGGUUUUUAACUUAGGUUUGGGUGGCGGACGGGUGAGUAACGCGUAAAGAACUUGCCUCACAGCUAGGGACAACAUUUGGAAACGAAUGCUAAUACCUAAUAUUAUGAUAAUAGGGCAUCCUAUAAUUAUGAAAGCUAUAAGCGCUGUGAGAGAGCUUUGCGUCCCAUUAGCUAGUUGGAGAGGUAACGGCUCACCAAGGCGAUGAUGGGUAGCCGGCCUGAGAGGGUGAUCGGCCACAAGGGGACUGAGACACGGCCCUUACUCCUACGGGAGGCAGCAGUGGGGAAUAUUGGACAAUGGACCGAGAGUCUGAUCCAGCAAUUCUGUGUGCACGAUGAAGUUUUUCGGAAUGUAAAGUGCUUUCAGUUGGGAAGAAACAAAUGACGGUACCAACAGAGGAAGUGACGGCUAAAUACGUG